GGCUUUAUAGUUCAAUGGUAGAACAUUCGCCUUGUAAGCGAAAGAUCUGAGUUCGAUUCUCAGUUGAGCCAC
rnacentral:tRNA from 1 species